GUCAGUGUGGUGGAGUGGUUGGAGUGUUGGACUACGACUCUAGAGACCAGGGUUCAAUUCCCUGUUCUGCUA